AAAGAAGAAGGUAAUCUCUCCCUUUAUUCACUAGUCUAUUAUAAAAUCUGGAUGAACCUCACGUCUGAUUUUGAUGUUUAGAAGAAAACUUGAGACAGAAAAAGAGAGAUGACGAGAGGAAAGCAGAAGAUCGAAGCUCAGAAAAAAAAUGCAGAGAAGAAUCAAAAAAAUAAAGGAUCUCAAUUUGAAGCUAGGGCUGCUGCUCUGAAAGUCGUUUGCCCUAUUUGCAAGGUGCAACUAGCUAAUGCAAAUCAACUUGGCGAUCACUACUCGUCCAAACAUCCAAAGGAAAAGCCUCCAAGUGACUCUACCUGAGUGAUUACGCGUUAGCAACAAAGAGAGAAGCACUACAAAGCCUUAGCAACAAAGAGAGAAGAACUACAAACCAUUUUAAUAUGUCAUCUGUACUCAUUUAAAAUCUGGAAUAUAUAAAUUUAAGCCAUCAAACAUCUGAAUGUGUAACCCAUGUCUGUACUUGUGGAGAUAAAUAACAAAUCUAUAUAUUUCAAAGAUGAGAGAGUUUGAUA